UGAAGAAAUUUAAAGAUGGAAGAGAAAGUGUUAAAGAUGAUGUACGAUCUGGAAGACCAAAAACGCCUCAAAGAAAGUUUAAUAAUAAAGUAUGGAUGACGAAACAUGGAAAGCGUCCAGUUAUUGCUAAA